CAAGUAACAAGAACCCAAGAAACAGUGUCAAGUGUAUGCAAACUGUGGUUAUUUCCAAUAUGGGCACUCCUCGAAAGGCUUCUGGUAGAUGGUUUAAGACUUCAGACGUUGUCGUUUCAGCAGCCCAGAAAAGAUUGAUACCCAUAAUAAUUGUUACAGAUAUCAAUCUUUGAACAAAGAGAAUGAUGGAAAUCAGUGACUAGAGUCUGAAUAAUAAUAGCUAUGGUGUUAAUGGAGUCCAACAACGAUAUGAUCAGGGGGCAUAGAUCGAAUCGUGAUAAGGGCAAUUCACCAUCUGGCAAAGGAUGCGCGAAAAUGAUGACAAGUCACAGAGAGAGAAGGACAAUCUGCAGAACACAUUGCACAUGCAAACAAAGUCAUUUAAUAUAAUAGGUAGAAAGAUACAAGAAGAAAUUAAAAGAAAAAACAUACACAAACUCUCAAUCUCAAUCUCUAUCUCACUCUCUCUCCCUCCUCCUCUGUGUUUAUCUCUAUAGGCCUUGUUUGUACUUUCUCAAUAUUAUGCCGAGAAGGAGACAAAAAGAGUGGGAAAAAAUUGAAAUCUGAAACGAACCCAUUAUAGAGAUUACAAAAACAUGACUUGGGCCUCUGAUUCUUUCCUGGGAAAAUCGUCUACCGAGCCAAUAGUGAUUCCCAAGGCAAAUUAAGAAAUACAUACACAGAUACAGAUAAAAAUCUCGAGAGAUAAUAUAUGUAGAGAGAGAAACAACAACCUCACACAGCUACACUACACUAGUAGUAACAUUUGCAGGUGAUGUGAUAAGAGAGAGAG
rnacentral:lncRNA from 1 species